rnacentral:lncRNA from 1 species
UACAGUCAAAGGUUCUGAUAAAGGCCUCAUUUCCAAAAUAUAUAGAGAAUUAACUCUAAUUUAUAAAAAAUCAAGCCAUUCUCCAAUUGAAAAAUGGUCAAAGGAUAUGAACAGACAAUUCUCAGAUGAAGAAAUUGAAACUAUCUCUAGGCAUAUGAAAAGAUGCUCCAAGUCAUUAUUAAUCAGAGAAAUGCAAAUUAAGACAACUCUAAGAUACCACUACACACCUGUCAGAUUGGCCAAGAUGACAGGAAAAAAUAAUGAUGAUUGUUGGAGGGGAUGCGGGAAAACUGGGACAUUGAUGCAUUGUUGGUGGAAUUGUGAACGAAUCCAACCAUUUUGAAGCGUAGUUUGGAACUAAGCUCAAAAAGUUAUCAAACUGUGCAUACCCUUUGAUCCAGCAGUGUUACUACUGGGCUUAUAUCCCAAAGAGAUUAUAAAGAAGGGAAAGGGACCUGUAUGUGCACGAAUGUUUGUGGCAGCCCUUUUUGUAGUGGCUAGAAACUGGAAACUGAAUGGAUGUCCAUCAGUUGGAAAAUGGCUGAAUAAAUUGUGGUAUGUGAAUAUUAUGGAAUAUUACUGUUCUGUAAGAAAUGACCAACAGGAUGAUUUCAGAAAGGCCUGGAGAGACUUACACAAACUGAUGCUGAGUGAAAUGAGCAGGACAAGGAGAUCAUUAUAUACUUCAACAACAAUACUAUAUCAUGACCAAUUCUGAUGGACCUGGCCAUCCUCAGCAACGAGAUCAACCAAAUCAUUUCCAAUGGAACAGUAAUGAACUGAACCAGCUACACCCAGAGAAAGAACUCUGGGAGACGACUAAAAACCCUUACAUUGAAUUCCCAAUCCCUAUAUUUAUGCCCACCUGCAUUUUUGAUUUCCUUCACAAGCUAAUUGUACAAUAUUUCAGAGUCUGAUUCUUUUUUAUACAGCAAAAUAAUGUUUUGGUCAUGUAUACUUGUGUAUCUAAUUUAUAUUUUAAUGUAUUUAACAUCUACUGGUCAACCUGCCAUCUAGGGCAGGGGGUGGGGGGUAAGAGUUGAAAAAUUGAAACAAGAGGUUUGGCAAUU